AUGGCAAAGCUCUACGUGCAGGCGGUGCCCCCGCCGGAUCUGAACAAGAACACCGAGUGGUUCAUGUACCUUGGGGUCUGGACCACCUACAUCUUCAUCGUCUUCAUCUCUUGGCUCCUCAUCCUCUCCAUCUUCGACUGCACCUCCGGCAUGAAGAAGGGAACUCCAUUCGCUGAUGAUAAGGGGAUGUAUAAUAGGUUGACUUGGUGGGAGCAAAUGGACAACGGCAAGCAGCUUACUCGCAACAGAAAAUUUCUUGUUGUGGCUCCUGUAGUCCUCUAA
rnacentral:rRNA from 1 species